rnacentral:rRNA from 1 species
AUACGGAGGAUCCGAGCGUUAUCCGGAUUUAUUGGGUUUAAAGGGAGCGUAGGCGGACGCUUAAGUCAGUUGUGAAAGUUUGCGGCUCAACCGUAAAAUUGCAGUUGAUACUGGGUGUCUUGAGUACAGUAGAGGCAGGCGGAAUUUGUGGUGUAGUGGUGAAAUGCUUAGAUAUUACGAAGAACUCCGAUUGCGAAGGCAGCCUGCUGGACUGUAACUGACGCUGAUGCUCGAAAGUGUGGGUAUCAAACAGGAUUAGAUACCCUGGUAGUCCACACAGUAAACGAUGAAUACUCGCUGUUUGCGAUAUACAGUAAGCGGCCAAGCGAAAGCGUUAAGUAUUCCACCUGGGGAGUACGCCGGCAACGGUGAAACUUAAAGGAAUUGACGGGG